rnacentral:rRNA from 1 species
UACAGAGGUCUCAAGCGUUGUUCGGAUUCAUUGGGCGUAAAGGGUGCGUAGGCGGCGCGGUAAGUCGGGUGUGAAAUCUCGGAGCUUAACUCCGAAACUGCAUUCGAUACUGCCGUGCUUGAGGACUGGAGAGGAGACUGGAAUUUACGGUGUAGCGGUGAAAUGCGUAGAUAUCGGGAGGAACACCAGUGGCGAAGGCGGUUGCCUGGAGCUUUGCUGACGCUGAGGCGCGAAAGCGUGGGGAGCAAACAGGG